UAUUAUACGGUGUCUGAGCACGAAGAGUUUUGAAUUCUAAGGAAGGACUUAAAUAUAUCCUUUUAAUAA
rnacentral:tRNA from 1 species